GAUGAAUAACGUAGCGAAAUGCGAUACUUGGUGUGAAUUGCAGAAUCCCGUGAACCAUCGAGUCUUUGAACGCAAGUUGCGCCUCAAGCCAUUAGGUUGAGGGCACGUCUGCCUGGGCGUCACAUAUCGUUGCCUGAUGCCAGUUUCCUCGUGAUGGGUGACUGUGCAGGGCGAAUGAUGGCUUCCCGUGAGCAUUGUUGCCUCAUGGUUGGUUGAAAAUUGAGUCCUUGGUAGGGAGCGCCGUGAUAGAUGGUGGUUGAGUGACGAACGAGACCCAAUCAUGUGAGACCCCUACCGAAUUUGGCCUUCAUGACCCACAUGCGUCUUUGGAACGCUCAUGACGAGACCUCAGGUCAGGCGGGGCUACCCGCUGAAUUUAAGCAUAUCAAUAAGCGGAGGA
rnacentral:misc_RNA from 1 species